GAUGAACGCUGGCGGCGUGCCUAAUACAUGCAAGUCGAGCGAACAGACGAGGAGCUUGCUCCUCUGACGUUAGCGGCGGACGGGUGAGUAACACGUGGAUAACCUACCUAUAAGACUGGGAUAACUUCGGGAAACCGGUGCUAAUACCGGAUAAUAUAUUGAACCGCAUGGUUCAAUAGUGAAAGACGGUUUUGCUGUCACUUAUAGAUGGAUCCGCGCCGCAUUAGCUAGUUGGUAAGGUAACGGCUUACCAAGGCAACGAUGCGUAGCCGACCUGAGAGGGUGAUCAGCCACACUGGAACUGAGACACGGUCCAGACUCCUACGGGAGGCAGCAGUAGGGAAUCUUCCGCAAUGGGCGAAAGCCUGACGGAGCAGCGCCGCGUGAGUGAUGAAGGUCUUCGGAUCGUAAAACUCUGUUAUUAGGGAAGAACAAAUGUGUAAGUAACUAUGCACGUCUUGACGGUACCUAAUCAGAAAGCCACGGCUAACUACGUG
rnacentral:rRNA from 1 species